GAAAGAGACAGAGAAGAGCAGACAGAGAAGAGCAGGUGAAGAAGCGAAGAAGAGAACAUCAGGUGACCUUGCUGGGAGUUCUAUCUCCUCGCUGACCACAAAGCCCCCUGGGGAAUGUAGUUCUUCUUCUCCUCUGGGCAGGCACCCAGAACUUGAGCAUCAGCAGUCAAACCCCCAGUGCAUUACAUGAUGUUAUGAUGUGGGAUAACUGAAAAUCAUAAAACCGUGACAGUAUCAUUAUAAUGCCGACACCUCUUCAUUGAGUUUUGUGGAAUCUCAAGGGGUUUUCCAUUUUCUCACCUGUGUUGAUAUGCCUUUUUAUUGUUUGUUAUCUAGCUAAAACCACUGGCGAUCUGACACUGUGGCUAAGAAUAUUAGAAAAGAUGUCUGAGGUCUGCCUUGGUAAUGGCCGAGGUGGUUACAAUUCUGGAGAAGAGAUUUGUGACCACAGGCUAUGCUACCAAAAAUAAAUAAAUAAACCCCCAGUAAAA